rnacentral:lncRNA from 1 species
ACGAAGGCCCUCUGCCCGGAGAGAAGACGAUGACAGCGGCCUCAACACUGCACAAAAAGCAGAGCUCGCCGGCCUUCUUGAAGAGUCCUGUUCGAUGCUUGGAGAAGGUGACCUCCAAGGACCUUUUCUUCUCGAUUUUUUUGAUUUCUAUCUUCUAUCUUCUCAUGCUUUGUUUGUUCGACGCUUGGAGAAGGUGACCGUCCUGACCUCCAAGGACCUUUUCUUCUCGAUUUUUUUUUAUUUCUAUCUUCUGUCUUCUCAUGCUCUGUUUGUUCGACGCUUGGAGAAGGUGACCUCCAAGGACCUUUUCUUCUCGAUUUUUUUUAUUUCUAUCUUCUGUCUUCUCAUGCUCUGUUUGUUCGACGCUUGGAGAAGGUGACCUCCAAGGAC